rnacentral:misc_RNA from 1 species
UGACGUCAUAAGCGAAUAGCGAGAAAAGUAGUGCAGUGCAACAUGAGCGAUACCGAUUCCUUAGAACUCCUUCGCAUUUUGGAAGGCGUCGAUGAUGACGAAGAAUUCAGAAUCUGAAUAUUUACUACCUGAAGAAGAUUUUUGAGGUGGAUAGCAGUGCUCAUCAACAUCCAACUAGACCUUCGACAUGUCAGCAGGACUGUCAUAGAAGAAGUGAGCCAGAAUCGUUUCAAUGGACUAAGGA